rnacentral:rRNA from 1 species
CGGCGAACGGGUGAGUAACACGUAACCAACCUACCCUAGAGACUGGAAUAACCACUGGAAACGGUGGGUAAUGCCAGAUGGUCCCCUUGGUCGGCAUCGACUUUGGGGUAAACGGAGGCUUCGGCUUCUGCUCUUUGAGGGGGUUGCGGCCUAUCAGCUUGUUGGUGGGGUAACGGCCUACCGAGGCGAUGACGGGUAGCCGGUCUGAGAGGACGAUCGGUCACACUGGGACUGAGACACUGCCCAGACUCCUACGGGAGGCUGCAGUCGAGAAUCUUCCGCAAUGGGCGAAAGCCUGACGGAGCGACACCGCGUGCAGGAUGAAGGCCCUCGGGUCGUAAACUGCUGUCAAGCCAUAGGAAUCCCGUGUGGUUAAUAGCCCCACGGUUGACCAAAGCGAGAGGAAGCACCGGCUAACUCCGUGCCAGCAGCCGCGGUAAGACGGAGGGUGCGAACGUUGUUCGGAAUCACUGGGCAUAAAGAGCACGUAGGCGGCGAGGCCAGUCAGGUGUGAAAGCCCCCGGCUCAACCGGGGAACUGCAUCUGAUACUGCCUUGCUCGAGGACGGUUGGGGUGAGUGGAACUCCUGGUGGAGCGGUGAAAUGCGUAGAUAUCAGGAGGAACACCAGUGGCGAAAGCGACUCACUGGACCGUUUCUGACGCUGAGGUGCGAAAGCUAGGGUAGCGAACGGGAUUAGAUACCCCGGUAGUCCUAGCCGUAAACGAUGGGCACUAGG